rnacentral:rRNA from 1 species
AGCAGCCGCGGUAAUUCCAGCUCCAAUAGCGUAUAUUAAAGUUGCUGCAGUUAAAAAGCUCGUAGUUGAAUUUCGGGAUCAAUAUGUUGGUCGUGCCUUGGUACGUACUAGCUUAUUGAUUUCUUCCUUCUGAUGAACCAUGAUGUCAUUAAUUUGGUGUCAUGGGGAAUCAGGACUGUUACUUUGAAAAAAUUAGAGUGUUUAAAGCAGGCUAACGCUUGAAUACAUUAGCAUGGAAUAAUGAAAUAGGACGUUUGAUUCUAUUUUGUUGGUUUCUAGGAUCGACGUAAUGAUUAAUAGGGAUAGUUGGGGGCAUUAGUAUUCAAUUGUCAGAGGUGAAAUUCUUGGAUUUAUUGAAGACUAACUACUGCGAAAGCAUUUGCCAAGGAUGUUUUCAUUAAUCAAGAACGAAAGUUAGGGGAUCGAAGACGAUCAGAUACCGUCGUAGUCUUAACCAUAAACUAUGCCGACUAGGGAUCGGAUGAUGUUAAUUUUUUAAUGACUCAUUCGGCGCCUUACG